rnacentral:rRNA from 1 species
GAUGAACGCUGGCGGCGUGCCUAAUACAUGCAAGUCGAGCGAACGGACGAGAAGCUUGCUUCUCUGAUGUUAGCGGCGGACGGGUGAGUAACACGUGGAUAACCUACCUAUAAGACUGGGAUAACUUCGGGAAACCGGAGCUAAUACCGGAUAAUAUUUUGAACCGCAUGGUUCAAAAGUGAAAGACGGUCUUGCUGUCACUUAUAGAUGGAUCCGCGCUGCAUUAGCUAGUUGGUAAGGUAACGGCUUACCAAGGCAACGAUGCAUAGCCGACCUGAGAGGGUGAUCGGCCACACUGGAACUGAAACACGGUCCAGACUCCUACGGGAGGCAGCAGUAGGGAAUCUUCCGCAAUGGGCGAAAGCCUGACGGAGCAACGCCGCGUGAGUGAUGAAGGUCUUCGGAUCGUAAACCUCUGUUAUUAGGGAAGAACAUAUGUGUAAGUAACUGUGCACAUCUUGACGGUACCUAAUCAGAAAGCCACGGCUAACUACGUG